UACGUAGGGGGCUAGCGUUGUCCGGAUUUAUUGGGCGUAAAGAGCGUGUAGGCGGUUGGGUAGGUCCGUUGUGAAAACUCGAGGCUCAACCUCGAGACGCCGAUGGAAACCCCCCAGCUAGAGUCCGGAAGAGGAGAGUGGAAUUCCUGGUGUAGCGGUGAAAUGCGCAGAUAUCAGGAAGAACACCCGUGGCUAAGGCGGCUCUCUAGUACGGUACUGACGCUGAGACGCGAAAGCGUGGGGAGCGAACAGG
rnacentral:rRNA from 1 species